ACCCUACCCCCUCGAGCUGAUAUAAGCAGUGGUACCGUGAUAGUGACCCCUGUGUUUGCAUCUCCGUGUUAGGAGUACAGAGGCCAGUACUUGCCACAAUGGGCUGAUGUUCGCCUUCCUCGUGGUCAUGAAUUCUGCGGUUGCAUUUGAUGUGUUAAGGGUUAGGAGAGCAAAAUGCUGGAGCUGAUUUUAGCCUCUGUUGUUACCAAGAUUGUGAGACCAAGGACAGAUGCAUCUUCCACCAUCAUGAGCUCUGGGGUUGCCUGUAUUUAAUAGGAAUACAGAGAUUAAU